GAUGAACGCUCGCUACAGGCUUAACACAUGCAAGUCGCGGGGCAGCAUGGGGGUUGCUUGCAAUCCCCGAUGGCGACCGGCGCACGGGUGAGUAACGCGUAUCCAACCUGCCCUUCACCACGGGAUAACCCGGCGAAAGUCGGACUAAUACCGUAUGUUGUCCAUUGACGGCAUCCGAUUUGGACGAAAGGCUUGGCGGUGAGGGAGGGGGAUGCGUCCGAUUAGCCAGACGGCGGGGUAACGGCCCACCGUGGCUACGAUCGGUAGGGGUUCUGAGAGGAAGGUCCCCCACACUGGAACUGAGACACGGUCCAGACUCCUACGGGAGGCAGCAGUGAGGAAUAUUGGUCAAUGGGCGUAAGCCUGAACCAGCCAAGUAGCGUGCAGGAUGACGGCCCUAUGGGUUGUAAACUGCUUUUAUGCGGGGAUAAAGUGGCCCACGUGUGGGCUUUUGCAGGUACCGCAUGAAUAAGGACCGGCUAAUUCCGUG
rnacentral:rRNA from 1 species